rnacentral:rRNA from 1 species
GUAGGGUGCGAGCGUUAAUCGGAAUUACUGGGCGUAAAGRGUGCGCAGGCGGCGUCGCAAGUCAGGCGUGAAAUCCCCGGGCUUAACCUGGGAACUGCACUUGAAACUACGAUGCUGGAGUAUGGCAGAGGGAGGUGGAAUUCCACGUGUAGCGGUGAAAUGCGUAGAGAUGUGGAGGAACACCGAUGGCGAAGGCAGCCUCCUGGGCCAAUACUGACGCUUAUGCGCGAAAGCGUGGGGAGCAAACAGGAUUAGAUACCCUGGUAGUCCACGCCCUAAACGAUGAUGACUAGUUGUUGGAGGAGUUAAAUCCUUUAGUAACGCAGCUAACGCGAGAAGUCAUCCGCCUGGGGAGUACGGUCGCAAGAUUA